rnacentral:rRNA from 1 species
UGGGGGAUAUUGCACAAUGGGGGAAACCCUGAUGCAGCGACGCCGCGUGGAGGAAGAAGGUUUUCGGAUUGUAAACUCCUGUCGUUAGGGACGAUAAUGACGGUACCUAACAAGAAAGCACCGGCUAACUACGUGCCAGCAGCCGCGGUAAAACGUAGGGUGCAAGCGUUGUCCGGAAUUACUGGGUGUAAAGGGAGCGCAGGCGGACCGGCAAGUUGGAAGUGAAAACUAUGGGCUUAACCCAUAAAUUGCUUUCAAAACUGCUGGCCUUGAGUAGUGCAGAGGUAGGUGGAAUUCCCGGUGUAGCGGUGAAAUGCGUAGAUAUUAGGAGGAACACCAGUGGCGAAGGCGGCUUUCUGGACUGUAACUGACACUGAGGCACGAAAGUGUGGGGAGCAAACAGGAUUAGAUACCCUGGUAGUCCACACCGUAAACGAUGAGCACUAGGUGUCGGGGUCGCAAGACUUCGGUGCCGGAGUUAACGCAUUAAGUGCUCCGCCUGGGGAGUACGUACGCAAGUAUGAAACUCAAAGGAAUUGACGGGGACCCGCACAAGCAGCGGAGCAUGUGGUUUAAUUCGAAGCAACGCGAAGAACCUUACCAGGACUUGACAUCCCAAUGACCGCUCUUUAAUAGGAGCUUUCCUUCGGGACAUUGGAGACAGGUGGUGCAUGGUUGUCGUCAGCUCGUGUCGUGAGAUGUUGGGUUAAGUCCCGCAACGAGCGCAACCCUUGCUGUUAGUUGCCAUCAUUGAGUUGGGCACUCUAACGGGACUGCCGGGGAUAACUCGGAGGAAGGUGGGGAUGACGUCAAAUCAUCAUGCCCCUUAUGUUCUGGGCUACACACGUGCUACAAUGGUCGGUACAAAGAGAAGCGAGAUCGUGAGGUGGAGCAAAACUCAAAAACCGAUCCCAGUUCGGAUUGCAGGCUGCAACUCGCCUGCAUGAAGUUGGAGUUGCUAGUAAUCGCAGAUCAGAAUGCUGCGGUGAAUGCGUUCCC